rnacentral:rRNA from 1 species
GGACGAACGCUGGCGGCGUGGAUUAGGCAUGCAAGUCGAACGGUAUGGUGCUUUCGGGCAUCAGAGAGUGGCGAACGGGUGAGUAACACGUAGGUGAUCUACCCUCAAGACGGGGACAACCCAGGGAAACUUGGGCUAAUACCGGAUGAUAGCAGCAGUGAUGUUGUUUAAAAGAUGGCUUUCGGGCUGUCGUUUGGGGAUGAGCCUGCGUCCUAUUAGCUAGUUGGUAAGGUAAUGGCAUACCAAGGCGAUGAUAGGUAGGCGGCCUUAACGGGUGGUCGCCCACACUGGGAUUGAGAUACGGCCCAGACUCCUACGGGAGGCAGCAGUCGAGAAUAGUCUACAAUGGUCGGAAGACUGAUAGUGCGACGCCGCGUGAACGAUGAAGCCCUUCGGGGUGUAAAGUUCUUUUGUAUGUGAGCAGUGGGUUUUACGUUAAUAGUGUGGAAUCAGGGAUAUUAGCAUAUGAAUAAGCAACGGCUAACUUUGUGUCAGCAGCCGCGGUAACACGGGGGUUGCGAGCGUUGUCCGGAAUUACUAGGCGUAAAGGGCAGGUAGGCGGAUCUAUAAGUUUUUUGUCAAAUUCAACGGCUCNNCCCGUUGCGCGGCAGGAGAUACUGUAGAUCUGGAAUGCGGNNNGGGAAGACAGAAUUCCUGGUGUGGCGGUGGAAUGCGCAGAGAUCAGGAGGAAUACCGAAGGCGAAGGCAGUCUUCUAAGCCGUAAUUGACGCUAAACUGCGAAGGUGUGGGUAUCAAACAGGAUUAGAUACCCUGGUAGUCCACACAGUAAACGAUAAUCACUGGGUGUCGGGUUCGUAGAGGAUUCGGUGCCGUAGCUAACGCGAUAAGUGAUUCGCCUGGGGAGUACGAUCGCAAGGUUGAAACUCAAAGGAAUUGACGGGGGCCCGCACAAGCGGUGGAGCAUGUGGUUUAAUUCGAGGCAACGCGAAGAACCUUACCCGGUCUUGACAUCUGCAGUAGGUUUCAGAGAUGAGGCCGUGCCGGCUUGCCGGAACUGCAAGACAGGUGCUGCAUGGCUGUCGUCAGCUCGUGUCGUGAGAUGUUGGGUUAAGUCCCGCAACGAGCGCAACCCCUGCUUCCAGUUACCAUCAUUUAGUUGGGGACUCUGGAAGGACCGCUGCGGUAACAACGCAGAGGAAGAUGGGGACGACGUCAAGUCAUCAUGGUCCUUAUGUCCGGGGCUACACACGUGCUACAAUGGUAGUUACAGAGGGAAGCGAAGCUGCGAGGUGGAGCGAAUCUCAUAAAAGCUGCCACAGUUCGGAUUGAGGUCUGCAACUCGACCUCAUGAAGUCGGAAUCGCUAGUAAUCGCGCAACAUCAUGGCGCGGUGAAUACGUUCCCGGGCCU